GUCCCUGUAAGCGCAAUGGGUCAGUGUGUUUGGCUGUUAACCAGAAGGUUGGUGGUUCAAGCCCACCCAGGGAUG